rnacentral:lncRNA from 1 species
CUUCCAUGGUGGGAAGAAGGUCACAGGGUCAGGGGCGCAGAUACUCUUAAAUACCAGUUAGUGAAAACGGCACAUCAGUGUGAAAAGGCUUACUCCUUGGAAAACUGCUCCCGAGGAUUAUCUGCUAUGUGCCAAGAGAUGCCCUACUUAUUAGAUUGUGUCUGAAAAAUGAAGCCAGGUGUCUCGUCAUUUGCAAGUCAGAUAUCUUUAAGCUAGGAUGCCUCUCUGUGUCCCCUCCUGCAGUUAUCUGCCUAAAAGCAGCUCAACCAUGUGACACUGCCUUGAAAAUCCUUCUUGUUUUCACCCUGCAGGCAGAGCCGACAGCCCGCGGAGCAGGAAGCCUGAUUCCCAACCAGGCUCAUUGCUGUGUGUCUGUAAUUAAGGCCCUUGACAUCUCUGAACCUCAUUCUGCAGUUUCAGACAUCCAGGCCAGGCACCGGGCCUUCCCUCCUUCACAAGGCAGAGGGUACAAUGAGCUCACAUCCAGCGGCAUGCCCAGGGACUGGCAGAGAGCCAGCAUCCUACAAAUCCACAGAAUACUACACAGCAAUAAAAAGGGAUGAACGAGUGGUCCGUGUAACCACAUGGCUAAAUCUCCAAAGCAUCAUGCCAAGUGAACAAAGCCAGACCCAAAAGACACAAACUGUAUGCUUCCACUGGAAAGGCCAUGUGAAGUCCCAGUGAGAAGGCGGCCAUCUACAAGUCAGGAGGAGAGCCCUCCCCAGAACCCGACCCUGCUGGCAGCCUGAUCUCAGACUUCCAGCCUCCAGAACUCCUGUAAGCAUGGCUGCAAGGUGGCUGCUGUGGUUCCAGCCCUCAACUGCAGACACAAUCCUGUCCAGGGGACAAGAAAAGGAACUAUUUCUUCCCAGGUAAAGACGGUUCCUGUUUCCACAACAGAGUCUCCACGCUGCCUCCCACUUUCAAACCAGAAACUCUCGAGUAGACAGAGAUGCCUUGUGAUCCAAUGAAGCCUGGCCCUGCCCAAAGAUCACCACUCUGCCCAUCCUAGGGGAUCCAGAAAUGCUUCUGAAUUUGUCCUCUGAGGACCUGGACCACGUCAAGAUUUGGAUGUUCAUUGGGAAGCUGUACUAGUCUGUUCUCACGUUGCUAAUAAAGACAUA